GCCUGGCUGGCUCAGUCAGUGGAGCAUGUUACUCUUGAUCUCAGGGUUGUGGGUUCGAGCCCCACGUUGGGUG
rfam:Ailuropoda melanoleuca scaffold582_35, whole genome shotgun sequence.